GAACUAUUUUUUCUUGUUUUGAAAACAGGAUUUAAGAAUUUAUUUCUUGUAGUUU
rnacentral:tRNA from 1 species